UACCGCUUAGGGUCAUACCUGGAGAGUUCCCAGUACUCUACCAGUCUCGACUACAGGAGAGAGAGUCAAGCAGAGGCAUACCCAUUCCAUUCCUAGCUUGGGCAGUGGCUAGCAAGUGGAAGACAAUCUGCUACAAGU